rnacentral:lncRNA from 1 species
GACGACGCAUCGACAUCGUCAGGGUAUCAGGACCAGGGCCCGCUCGCUCGCCUGCUGAGCAAGCUGAGGCAGUUCAAGGCUCUUGCUGCUGACAAGGACCUGGCUAACAGCGAGCUAGCGCCUCUUAUUCGGGCGCUGCCGCUCGAUACGGUGAGGACUUGCCGGAAGCGCUCGUCUGCUGGUUUUGCUUAGUAACAUUUUGGUUCACAAGCGUGCUGCGGCAUGGUGCAUUCACCGGGAGUGGCUGGGGGUCGCUGUCUUGGGGCUGGCUGUCGUAGCUUGCACACGCGUAAACAAGCGGCAAGGGCAGCGCGACAUGCACCUAGGCUCUUUUGCUCGCCAAGGCGUACACAGUUGACCGGGGAGCAGGCCUAGGCCUGGUUGCUGGCGGGGUUCCUGGUGCGGCAGAUGAACAUCGCCACUGUCGGAGUGCGCGCUGCUGGUUCGGGGCCGCAUGUGCGUGCCUUUGCCUUUUCGUCACGGUCUUGUUAAAAUGUGGGGGUGGCAUAGACUGCGCGCUAGCGCUUGGCCUGCCAGCGCGCUGCUGUCGCCAGCCGACUGGAAGUGCACCGGCGUUUACUCGCUAAAACGAGUCGCGCGGAAUUAGAUCGCUCAGUUGCUCAUGGACGUCUGCAAAGCGCUUGCGCGUACGCCCCGGGGUGCGGUCGGUGCGGCAAACGUUUCGACCUGCACCUGGAGCGCUUUCUCUGCACUUUUGCGGAGCCACGACCGCCUGCCCUCGCUUCCCGCAUUGGCGCGGUUUCGGGUGACGUUCAUACCAUUGUGGUGCAAACCGCCGCGGCAGGACGCCUUGAAUCGAUUCGCGUCACAGGAGAUAUCGACAGGAGGGCGGUUGGUCCGGCCCUAGAGCACCACUCCAGUUCCUCCUCGAACCCUUCCCGCCAGCCCGACCACCGUAUCGCCGUCCCGUAACGCCCAACGGCAUCCCUUAGAUUCCAUGUGCUCAGCUAGCCUGCUGCCUUCCCUGCACGUGGUACUGCCUUGCCCACAGGAGCUACAGCAGCUGCUGGCCAAGUUCCACUGGUAUCCCGGCCACAACUUCACAACCACAGUGGACCUGGCUAAUCUCAAAGGCGCGCUUCAGAAGUACAAGUACAUCAAGAUCGGUCAGCUGGGCAGUGGCUCAUAUGGCGUUGUGCACAAAGCCAUCAACCGGG